ACCUUAGCUACUUCAGCUAAACUGUGACCGUGAAUGACGUUAUGGAAGUUGACAGCUUUUUCAGAAGGAUACUAACCUAAUCAUCCUGGGAAUAUCAACUACAAAUCAAGAAAUGCUGUGAAGUCAGCUCCGUCAUGUGGACCAACCUGUUGUGCACUUCCUGACCCA
rnacentral:lncRNA from 1 species